GGCGAACUGGUGAGUAACACGUGGGAAACCUGCCCAGAAGCGGGGGAUAACACCUGGAAACAGAUGCUAAUACCGCAUAACAACUUGGACCGCAUGGUCCGAGUUUGAAAGAUGGCUUCGGCUAUCACUUUUGGAUGGUCCCGCGGCGUAUUAGCUAGAUGGUGAGGUAACGGCUCACCAUGGCAAUGAUACGUAGCCGACCUGAGAGGGUAAUCGGCCACAUUGGGACUGAGACACGGCCCAAACUCCUACGGGAGGCAGCAGUAGGGAAUCUUCCACAAUGGACGAAAGUCUGAUGGAGCAACGCCGCGUGAGUGAAGAAGGGUUUCGGCUCGUAAAACUCUGUUGUUAAAGAAGAACAUAUCUGAGAGUAACUGUUCAGGUAUUGACGGUAUUUAACCAGAAAGCCACGGCUAACUACGUGCCAGCAGCCGCGGUAAUACGUAGGUGGCAAGCGUUGUCCGGAUUUAUUGGGCGUAAAGCGAGCGCAGGCGGUUUUUUAAGUCUGAUGUGAAAGCCUUCGGCUCAACCGAAGAAGUGCAUCGGAAACUGGGAAACUUGAGUGCAGAAGAGGACAGUGGAACUCCAUGUGUAGCGGUGAAAUGCGUAGAUAUAUGGAAGAACACCAGUGGCGAAGGCGGCUGUCUGGUCUGUAACUGACGCUGAGGCUCGAAAGUAUGGGUAGCAAACAGGAUUAGAUACCCUGGUAGUCCAUACCGUAAACGAUGAAUGCUAAGUGUUGGAGGGUUUCCGCCCUUCAGUGCUGCAGCUAACGCAUUAAGCAUUCCGCCUGGGGAGUACGGCCGCAAGGCUGAAACUCAAAGGAAUUGACGGGGGCCCGCACAAGCGGUGGAGCAUGUGGUUUAAUUCGAAGCUACGCGAAGAACCUUACCAGGUCUUGACAUACUAUGCAAAUCUAAGAGAUUAGACGUUCCCUUCGGGGACAUGGAUACAGGUGGUGCAUGGUUGUCGUCAGCUCGUGUCGUGAGAUGUUGGGUUAAGUCCCGCAACGAGCGCAACCCUUAUUAUCAGUUGCCAGCAUUAAGUUGGGCACUCUGGUGAGACUGCCGGUGACAAACCGGAGGAAGGUGGGGAUGACGUCAAAUCAUCAUGCCCCUUAUGACCUGGGCUACACACGUGCUACAAUGGAUGGUACAACGAGUUGCGAACUCGCGAGAGUAAGCUAAUCUCUUAAAGCCAUUCUCAGUUCGGAUUGUAGGCUGCAACUCGCCUACAUGAAGUCGGAAUCGCUAGUAAUCGCGGAUCAGCAUGCCGCGGUGAAUACGUUCCCGGGCCUUGUACACA
rnacentral:rRNA from 2 species